rnacentral:rRNA from 2 species
UAAAACCAGCACCUCAAGUGGUCAGGAGGAUUAUUGGGCCUAAAGCAUCCGUAGCCGGCUCUGUAAGUUUUCGGUUAAAUCCAUGUGCUCAACGCAUGGGCUGCCGAAAAUACUGCAUAGCUAGGGAGUGGGAGAGGUAGACGGUACUCGGUAGGAAGGGGUAAAAUCCUUUGAUCUAUCGAUGACCACCUGUGGCGAAGGCGGUCUACCAGAACACGUUCGACGGUGAGGGAUGAAAGCUGGGGGAGCAAACCGGAUUAGAUACCCGGGUAGUCCCAGCUGUAAACGAUGCAGACUCGAUGAUGCAUGGCAUAUAGCCAGUGCAGUGUCGCAGGGAAGCCGUUAAGUCUGCCGCCUGGGAAGUACGUACGCAAGUAUG